rnacentral:rRNA from 1 species
GAUGAACGCUGACAGAAUGUUUAACACAUCAGCAAUUGAUUGUUGGCGGCCGGGUGCGUAACGCGUAAAGAACUUGCCUCACAGCUAGGGACAACAUUUGGAAACGAAUGCUAAUACCUAAUACUGUGAGAGAUCUUUGCGUCACAUGAGCUCGUUGGAGAGGUAACGGCUCACCAAGGCGAUGAUGGGUAGCCGGCCUGGGAGGGUGAUCGGCCACAGGGGGACUCAGGCACCGCCCUUACUCCUACGGGAGGCAGCAGUGGGGAAUAUAGGACAAUGGACCAAAGUCUGAUCCAGCAAUUCUGUGUGCACGAUGAAGUUUUCGGAAUGUAAAGUGCUUUCAGUUGGGAAGCGGUACCAACAGAAGAAGUGACGGCUAAAUACGUGCCAGCAGCCGCGGUAAUUC